rnacentral:rRNA from 1 species
GUGAGGAAUUUUCCGCAAUGGGCGAAAGCCUGACGGAGCAAUGCCGCGUGAAUGAUGAAGGUCUUAGGAUUGUAAAAUUCUUUCACCGGGGACGAUAAUGACGGUACCCGGAGAAGAAGCUCCGGCUAACUUCGUGCCAGCAGCCGCGGUAAUACGAAGGGGGCUAGCGUUGCUCGGAAUUACUGGGCGUAAAGGGCGCGUAGGCGGACAGCUUAGUCAGAGGUGAAAGCCCAGGGCUCAACCUUGGAAUUGCCUUUGAGACUGGAUGUCUUGAGUUUGGGAGAGGUGAGUGGAACUCCGAGUGUAGAGGUGAAAUUCGUAGAUAUUCGGAAGAACACCAGUGGCGAAGGCGACUCACUGGCCCAAUACUGACGCUGAGGCGCGAAAGCGUGGGGAGCAAACAGGAUUAGAAACCCCAGUAGUCC